UUCAUCUCCGAGCUGGAGAGCUCCCCGCACCCAUGCCGGUUCCAGUCCCAGGUGGAGGCUCUCCUCCACGGUAGCACCUCCUCCACCUGGUCCCUUUCUUUGGGGGUGCAUGUGCUCCUCUGACAGUAGUCGUCAGCCAUCCCUUUCAGCUUUUUUCUCACGCAACCUCGCAUCCUUUUCACCGAAUCACUGAGGCAACCUUCCUUCUUGAUGGAUCUGUUUGAAUAGGAAAUGAUUUCUUUGAACCCUAGGAGCUUUGCUUUCUUCUCCAACUUUUGUUUCGUCUACCGUACGAAACUGUGUCUACGAGCUGUGUUCUCCUGGGAGUUUGUUCGUCGCCCUUCAUCCGGGUUAUUGAUUUCCCAAUUUUCCGCUCAGAUUCAAGAUCUCAGAUCAAUCAAUCAGGUGCAUCCAAACCUAUUUUCCUCUUCAUCCUUUUUCUUUUUCCUUCAUUGUGUCGAUCCUUGUGAUGAAUUUUAGCAUCUGUUCCACGAUUGACCCAGAUUUUAUUGUCUAUGGUUUCUGAAAUCCCUAAUUAUGCAAAUUCUGAUGAUUUUUGGUAUCUGUUCUAUGGUUAAGCGACAUUUUAUUUUCUAGGAUUUGUGAAAUUCCUAAUCUUGCAAAUUAUGAUCGUUUUGGGUAUCUGUUCGAUGUUUAAGGCACAUGUUAUUGUGUAGGGUUUGUGAAAUUUCUAAUUUAAAAAUUGUGUUUCUGAUUUGGUUUUUUUGUGGGUUCAUGUUCUUGGUUACAUUUUUUGGGAUUUGCUGUUAACCUUCAUUUUAAACUCAUUAUCAGAUCUCCUUUUGUUACCUGUUGAAUUGUUUGUAGCAUGUGUGUUGUGUUUUUCAUGAAUAUAUUUUUAAUUUUUUACUUUGUGUACAUUCAACAAAUCCCUUGAUUUUUUAAACUGUUUCCUGUAUUCAGAAACUUGUUCUGUUAUCUAUGUUUGAUGUAAUAUUCGCAUGAAAACGUGGUCUGGAUACAUAAUAAGGUUGUGCUGUAUAUUCUUCAUUGGAAAUUCAAAAUUUGGGAAUCAUUAUCAAGGUAUGAGGUUUCAAUCUCAUCCCUUUCAUGAAUGUUGAUGUCAUUGAGAGAUUUUUACUCAUGUUUGUAUAUACUUUUUUUUCCACUCAUCUCCUAUUUUCAAUGUAUCCUUACCUAACACAUUUACCAACUCUCAUUGUCAUGAGUAGAAUCAUUGUUUGGGGUAGUUGAUUACUGCCUUCCCUAUGGUCUUAUGGCGUGUAGGUGCACUGUAGUAAGUAUGGUCUCAUAUCUCAGUUUCUGGUCCCUAUUUCUUGAUUUAUUGAAAGUUUCACUUGUUUUUCCUGUUUUUGUGUUGGUUCAUGUUUUGCUCCUAUGAUUAGUUGUCUCUAUGCCAUUGAAUGGAGAUGAGAAUGUGGGAAUGCCUAUCAAGGUAUGGGCUUUCUAUCUAACCUAUUUGCUGUUGGAUGGACAUACACCUCCUUGGCCCCAAGUUAAGAGGUUCAUUGAGAAAAGAAUGGCCUUGUGCCAGUAAAAUGGCUUCAUGGUGUUCUUUGUCUAACUAGCACAUGUCUUUAGCCAAAGAAAAAAGUAUAUAGCAGCUGGUCUUCCCAUGAAAAUGUGUUCUCCACACAUAAUAAGAAUCAUUGUUUGGGGUAGUUGGUGACUGCCUUCCAUGUGGUCUAAUGACAUGUAGCUGGACUGUAGUAGCUUUUGCUGCUAUGAUUAGUUAUCUAUGUGCCAUUGAAUGGAGAUGAGAAUGUGGGAAUGCCUAUCAAGCUGUUGGAUGGACAUACACCUCCUUGCCCUCAAGUUAAGAGGUUCAUUGAGAAAAGAAUGCGCUUGUGCGAGUAGAAUGGGUUCAUGUUAUUGUUUGUCUAACUACCACAUGUCGUUAGCCAAAGAAAAAACUAUCCAGCAGCUGGUCUUCCCAUGAAAAUGUGUUUUCCACACAUAAUAAAGUUGUGCUAUAUAUUCUUUAUUGGAAAUUGGAAAUUUGGGAAUCAUUAUGAAGCUUUUGCUGCUAUGAUUAGUUGCCUAUGUGCCAUUAAAUGGAGAUGAGAAUGUGGGAAUGCCUAUCAAGGUAUGGGCUUUCUAUCUAACCUAUUUGGUGAGGGGUGAUGUGAUUGAUAUGAAUUGAUUCAUAGCUUCUUCCUCAUUAAAUGAAAAAUUUGGUUAUUCAACUCCAUUACCCUCCAUUUCCCUCCUCAAUUUGAUUUGAAUUCAAAAAGGUGAGAUUGUGUCCUGGAUUUUUUCUAUAAAAGGAUGGUUGGUGAAGCACAUUGAAUGCACAAACAUUCUAAUGUGUUGUAUUUGCUCCUAAGCUAUAUUUAUUUCAGAAUUUUAGUGUUUACAUUUUGAUCUAUUUCAUCAAGUCUCUUUAUCUCCUUUCUUUUUACUGCAAUGCUUCCUCCAUUUGAUAUGAUUUCUAAGAUGCAUCCUCCUAGAGAGGCUUGGAGGCUGAAAGUUAGGGUUCUAAGGCUUUGGGUUGUACCCUCUUUUGGUAACCAUGAGGUUCCUAACUCAAUGGAGAUGAUUCUCCUUGAUGAGCAUGUUAGCCCCUAUUAGCUUCUCUUUUAAAUAUGGUCUUACUUGCUGUUUUUUAAGUUUUCAACUUUCAAUUAUGUGUUUCAUUAAUCUCAUUUGUUCUUUUGUUCGAUUUCUAGUGUGAAAAAAUUCAAGCUACAGUCAAGAAACCACUCCUUAAUAGGUUUAGGGAUCAUAUAGUUGAAGGACAAGUUUAUAGAAUGGCAUAUUUUACUGUUGUGUCAAAUCAUGGUAGUUAUAGAGCAACUUCUCAUGAAUUCAAAUUGGUUUUCCUUCACCGAACCACUGUUGUAGCUGUUGAUGAAGAUGUUAUCCCUAAGACUUGUUUCAACAUGUUUCCUUUUUCUGAGCUGCUGAACAUGACCCAAGAUUAUGAUUUUUUAGUUGAUGACAUUGGUCUUUUAACUUCAGUCGGAGAAGAGAAAGAAUAUGCAAAAGAGGAGAAAAUUGUGAAAAUGAUUGCAUUGGAAUUAACUUCAAAAGAUCUUACAGUGCGAUGUGCAUUGUUUGGGGAUUAUGUUAAUCAAGUAAAUCAUUUCCUUGCCUCUGGCUAUGUGGAGCAGCCUGUUGUAGUCAUUCAACUUGCAAAAGUCAAGUUCUUUAGGGGUCAAGUAGGUCUUCAAAAUGUGAUGUAUGCCACUCAAAUGUUAUUUAAUCCUGAUAUUCCUGAAGUUGUUGAAUUCAGGCGAGUAUGAUUGAGCAAGGUGUCAAUGGUACCCAGCCACUGUUUAUUGCAAAUGAGGGUAAAGUUCUCUCCUUGGAAGAUGAUUUCAUGCGUUUAACUAGAAAAUGCACAAUUGAAGAGCUUCAAGAUAACAAUCAGGAGGGUUCUUUUAUCAUUUUUGGUGCAAUCCAAGGUAUUGUUGAGGAUGGAAGUUGGUGGUAUUCUGCUUGUGUGUGUGGAAAGGGUAUCUAUCCUCAAAAUGGUGCAUAUUACUGUGAUUUUUGUUUGAAGCACAUAACUAAUGUCACUCCAAGAUUUAAAAUUAAAAUAACAGUUGAAGAUCAUACUGGGGAGGGUAUUUUCCUUCUCUUUGAUCGUGUGGCUUCUUAUUUGCUUAAGAAAUCAUGUGCUUACUUGUUUACUGAGGUUCAAAGAGAUGCAAGUCUUAUAUGUGGGGAUACUUAUCCUCCCAUAUUCCAAGGGCUCAUUGGAAAGAAGUUGCUGCUCAAGGUUGAUACCAAAGGUGUCCCACAUGAUACAUUUUAUGGAACUUUCUGAGUUAGGAGAAUUUGUGAUGAUUCCACCAUUAUUGCGAUGUUUGAACUUCCCAAUUAUGAUGCUGAUGAUGAGUCUACUCUAAAAAAGGAGCAUGAUUUACAUAAAUCUGUUCCUUGUGGAAAAGCGGAUGUUGGUAUUAAGAAGGAGUCUUCGGAUAGUUUUAUCAAAAGUGAGAAAGAUGCUGGUGAGUGUUCUGGGAUUUUGUGUAAAUCCCCCGUUCUUAUAGAUUUUUUGGCUGAAAAAUAGCCUGUUGUUUUCGGAGGGACUGAGUUUGUUGGCUUAAUUGAUGGUGAACAUGGAAAAGAAGAGAAAACACCCAGCAAUGAUACUGUUAGUGAUGAUCUUUCUGCUGAACUGGAUAUAUUGCUUAGCUCAGCAGAAAAAGAAACUCAGGAGGUGUUGUCCCAUGUUCUUGAAGCACCUUCGCAAUAUGGAGAGAAGCUUACCCAUGAAAAUCAUGUUGUCACCUCUAAGGGUAAGAGGAAUUUGAAUCCUCAAUUUGAAGUGGCUGCUGUUGAUGCAGAUGGGCGUGGGUUCAAGGUUGCCAAGGUUAAUGGAGUUUGAUUGAAGGUGUGGAAUUGAGCUGCUGUGUCUAGGUGUAGGUGUCUUAUAUAGUGUAUCUAUAAGUAUUUAGGAAGGCUUGUGAUUCCAAAUAGAUGGACAUGUAAUCAUGCUGGCUGGAUGGUAUUUUGAUUUGACUUUUUUGGACUGUGUCCAACAAAUAGGAUUGUUAGAUAUAGGGGUUUUCCUUUUGUGAUGGCUCGGGUAAUGUGCCAAGUAGGUCUAUUCUCAACUCCUCCUUUUGUAAUAGUGACUUUGCUAGGGAUUGGACACAUUUUCAAUGUUGUACCCUCUUUAUGUUACAUACUAGGAUAUGUGGUCAGAUGUUGGAAUCCUCCUUAUCAUAGGGGAGAUAGCCAUAUGUAAUUGUGUAUAUCACUAUCAAUUAAUAUUUUAAUGAAAUGCAGCA